rnacentral:rRNA from 1 species
UGGGGAAUAUUGGGCAAUGGGCGAAAGCCUGACCCAGCAACGCCGCGUGAGGGAAGAAGGUUUUCGGAUUGUAAACCUCUGUCGCAGGAGACGAAAGAAAUGACGGUAUUCUGUGAGGAAGCCCCGGCUAACUACGUGCCAGCAGCCGCGGUAAUACGUAGGGGGCGAGCGUUGUCCGGCAUUACUGGGCGUAAAGGGUGCGUCGGCGGCGCGAGAAGUUGGAGGUUAAAUGCCCGGGCUUAACAGGGGAGGUGCAUCCAAGACUGUCGUGCUAGAGUACAGGAGAGGGAAGCGGAAUUCCUAGUGUAGCGGUGAAAUGCGUAGAUAUUAGGAGGAACACCGGGGGCGAAGGCGGCUUUCUGGACUGACACUGACGCUGAGGCACGAAAGCGUGGGGAGCAAACA